GGAUGCGAUCAUACCAGCACUAAAGCACCGGAUCCCAUCAGAACUUCGAAGUUAAGCGUGCUUGGGCGAGCGUAGUACUAGGAUGGGUGACCUCCUGGGAAGUCCUCGUGUUGCAUUCC
rnacentral:rRNA from 1 species